GCUGGGACUACAGGCGCCCGCCCCCAGGCCCUGCUAAUUUUUGUAUUUUUAGUAGAGACGGGGUUUCACCAUGUUGGCCAGGAUGGUCUCGAUCUCCUGACCUCGUGAUCCACCCUCCUCGGCCUCCCAAAGUGCUGGGAUUACAGGCGUGAGCCACUGCGCCCGGCCUGAAUUCUUUAACUAGCUAUGAUUGUCUAUGUGACUCAAAUAACACUUAUAUACUGUGAUGUAAAGUUAGUGUUUUACACACAUAUGUUUAAAUCUCUAACGAGAUAAUGUAUUUCUUAUGAUCUGAAACCUAGUUUUAUAUCCUUCUUACUGCUCCCUUCCCACUGUGGUGGUUAGUACAAAUCUGGCCCCAUGUCAGGUGCUCAAAGAUUACUUGAUACGUUAUUUGACGAUUUCAGAAGAUUCCAUGAAGCUCAUCACCAGCCCUGUUUUCUUUAGACGCUGACUCCUGCUGUCUACCAGAUCCUCGUGGUACAAUGACUGGUGUAGACUGGCUUGUUGAAGUCACUCUCUGGAUCUGAGCAACGCUGGCUGAGCCGUGAUGAAGUAUUCCUAUCCAUCCACUAUGCUUCACAGUGGGAAUCUCUCACUGUUCAUCACCGCUGCCCUAGCAGCCGCAGGGAUUCUUCACCCAUGGUUGCUUAGGUUUAUAAGCAAGGAAGCUGAAUGAAGUCCCUUUCCUCUCUGGAUGAGCCCCUGGGUUUCUGGAAGAGUCUUAAAAUCACCCCUAAAUGGCUUCCAAGCACUGAAGCCCGAGAUGUUAGCUGGCCUGUGUGAGGCCUUGAGACAGAAUGCCACAGCCACACCCCAAGGAUGCUGAAGGGGAUUUCCCUCCUCUGUGGUUUUUCUCCUUUCUUCCCGCAGCACUCCUCCUACGUGCUAACAUCUUCUAGUCAAACAACUCUCCUUUUCAAAGGGACCAGGCACAGUUUCUGCUUAUCCCUGAGUAGCAGUGUUCAGUUUCCUGCCAGCCUGUGGAGUUUUUCAAACAAGCCAAUCACCUCCUCCUGUGGGAACUGAGAAGCACCCCACCCUCUCGAUACUACAAAGCCCCUGCUUGUUCCCUAGUGCAACUCCCAUGUGGUCCUGUGGAGCAUAUGGUAUCUUCCUCUUCUGGGCAGUGAGCAUAUGUGACUAAUAAACUAUCUAUCUCAUCUGUUCAGUGCCAGGUGUCAUUUGUUCUGCCAUCCCAUGACCUAGGGUGGGGAUUCCUUCCACACCAACAGGGUGAAUGCAAGGUGAUUAAAACAAGAAGCCUCUUCAGGAUCUAUAUCCUAGGGAAAAAAUUAAACAACAACAACAAAACAAGAAGCUUCAACUCUGACCCUGUAUUCCAGAUGUGUUACAGGGGCCUGUCUCCCCAGAGCCACUCUCCAGGUCAGAGCUUACCUCCCCUUGCUCAGGGUUAGGAGCUCUGGGCAGGAAAAGGACAUCAUGUUAAAA
rnacentral:lncRNA from 10 species